AAACUGCUUAGCAAAAUAACAAGUAACAGAAAAUUUUACUUUGCCUCCAGCAGUUGAAGAAUCAUCACCAUAAGAUAUUGUUAAAUGUGGAGAUCUUUUGGAAUCCGUAAACAGAGUACCAAUGGAUGAUGAAGGAUCUUCACACCCAUAACUUCCACGAUGGAUAUGAUCCAAGUCCACAGAACCAAAAGACUGCCAUGCUGAAAAUGUGGAAGUCCCAGAAUCUUCCUUGCAAUGAUCAUUCAUAUUCCAGAUUCCUUCAUUCUCAUUUGACUUAUCAGCAACCCAAUCCUCAUAUUCUUUGGAACUAAGGGCAUAUGACACUAUGCUAGCAGGAUCGUUGUCGUAAACACCAAUAACAAUAUCAUUGUGG
rnacentral:misc_RNA from 1 species